rnacentral:lncRNA from 1 species
AUGACCCCAAGGUCAGGGAUUCAACCCCUAACGCCCCUCUUUGUUCCUUUUUAUUCUCUUUUUAUUUUAUUUGAUAUAUUGUUUCAUUUUCUUUAUUUUACUUAUUUCUUUUCCUUUUUUAAUUUCUUUUUCUUGAUUAUUUCUCCUGACCAAAUAUUUCACUAAGUAUAUUUCACAAAGUAUUUUAUUUUCUCAUUUAACUAUUCUAUUUUUUAUCAUUUUAUUGGACCUUUUUUCCCUUAUGUUUAAUCAUUGGUUGAUGAUAUUCUAUUGGUCAUGGUAAUUGGUCUUAGGGUUGACUUAAUCUUCAACACUUCAAACAUUUUAAUGA